UCCCUGGUAGCUCAGACGGUAAAGCAGCUGCCUGCAAUGCAGGAGACCUGGGUUCGAUCCCUGGGUCGAGAA
rfam:Ovis aries breed Texel chromosome 15, whole genome shotgun sequence.